rnacentral:lncRNA from 1 species
ACUUGGUGUCUUAGCGGUUCGUGUUUGUAAGUCUAAGCUCCUCUUCCGAGCCACCAACUCGAUCUGCCCUAGUCUUCCCAUCUCCUACUUAAGUCAAGGUCCAGUAGGCCGUGCAGUCCUAGAGCUCGAGUGAUCUCCUUGGCUCUUGUAGCCUAUGUUUCCCCGGAGUUAAUCCCCUCCCAAUAUCUUAGUCCAUCUGCCCAGAGCUUGGUGUACCAGUCCCUAGGUGGUGACCAUCGUUGACAGUUAGUCCACCUCGCCGUGACCAGGUAACUUCAAUGGUUUCCUCAGUCGAGUUGUGCAUAUUUUGUGCUCUGCAUAAGAUAGAGAAGCUCAUAUGAUGGUAAACCAUUCUCCUUAAGUAGGUUUGGUUUGGGGGUGUAUGGAAAAUAGCGUGAAAGCUGCCCAAAAAUGGACUGUGAGUUUGCACUGACUGAAUUUUUGUUCAGAUUAGCUGAAAACUGGAUUGCAGCAGAUUGCUCAGUUUGGAGCUCUCCUAUGACCAGUUCAUGAGGUUUUGGGUUACCAGUUGUAUAGAAAAGUCAAAGACCAGAUGAAGGUGAACAAGCUUCAUCAGAGGAGUGGGGCUUACUACUGUGUAAAAUAUGGAGAAAUAUGUGCUGCAAUUUUCUAUGUCAGGUGUUGUGUUCAGGUCUUUUUCAGUUAGCUGAAAUUUAGCCUUUGCGUUUUCACCUCAAGUUUGGUGCUCUGUAACUUGAGAUCUGUUUAGGGUUAGCUAGUAGCUCUUGUAACAAAGAUGGAGAGAGAUUAUAGAGGAACCAUUCAUAGUAAGGAAAUACAUUGAGCCCUCAUAUGGAAUUGCG